rnacentral:misc_RNA from 1 species
GAUGAAGAACGUAGCGAAAUGCGAUACGUAAUGUGAAUUGCAGAUUUCAGUGAAUCAUCGAAUCUUUGAACGCACAUUGCGCCCCCUGGUAUUCCGGGGGGCAUGCCUGUCCGAGCGUCAUUACAACCCUCAAGCUCAGCUUGGUGUUGGGCCCCGCCGCCCCGGCGGGCCCUAAAGUCAGUGGCGGUGCCGUCCGGCUCCGAGCGUAGUAAUUCUUCUCGCUCUGGAGGUCCGGUCGUGUGCUCGCCAGCAACCCCCAAUUUUUUUCAGGUUGACCUCGGAUCAGGUAGGGAUACCCGCUGAACUUAAGCAUAUCAAUAAGCGGAGGA